rnacentral:rRNA from 1 species
AACGAACGCUGGCGGCAGGCUUAACACAUGCAAGUCGAGCGCACCCUUCGGGGUGAGCGGCGGACGGGUUAGUAACGCGUGGGAACGUGCCCAGAUCUGCGGAAUAGCCACUGGAAACGGUGAGUAAUACCGCAUACGCCCUUCGGGGGAAAGAUUUAUCGGAUUUGGAUCGGCCCGCGUUAGAUUAGGUAGUUGGUGGGGUAAUGGCCUACCAAGCCUACGAUCUAUAGCUGGUUUUAGAGGAUGAUCAGCAACACUGGGACUGAGACACGGCCCAGACUCCUACGGGAGGCAGCAGUGGGGAAUCUUGGACAAUGGGGGCAACCCUGAUCCAGCCAUGCCGCGUGAGUGAUGACGGCCUUAGGGUUGUAAAGCUCUUUCAGUAGUGAAGAUAAUGACGGUAACUACAGAAGAAGCCCCGGCUAACUUUCGUGCCAGCCGCCGCGGUAAUU